AAUUCUCAACCCCUCCAGCUUUUGUGGCUGGUCGUGGCUUGGAUAUGGGAGUUUUGCUGGUCUCAUUUCGAGAUCAGCUCUCCUGAAAUGCAUUAGUGGAACCGUUUGCGAUCCGUCACCGGUGUGAUAAUUAUCUACGCCAUAGACUGUGAACGCUCUCUGUAUUGUUCUGCUUCUAACUGUCCUGUAAAAGGACAACGAUAUUGAAC
rnacentral:misc_RNA from 1 species